CCAUGCGAGUCGCGAGUCUUAGGGACUCGGCGUACCGCUCAGUAACACGUGGGUAACCUGCCCUAUGCUGGGGGAUAACCUCGGGAAACUGAGAAUAAUACCCCAUAGUUCACCACGCCUGGAACGGUGGGUGGACCAAAGCUCCGGCGGCAUAGGAUGGGCCUGCGGCGUAUCAGGUUGUAGGGGGUGUAAUGUACCCUCUAGCCCUCUACGCGUACGGGUGUUGAGAGACAUCGCCCGGAGAUGGAUUCUGAGACACGAAUCCAGACCCUACGGGGUGCAGCAGGCGCGAAAACUUGGCAAUGCGAGAAAUCGUGACCAGGGAACUCCAAGUGCAUCGGGUAAGACCGAUGCUUUUCUUGACUCUUCAAAGGUCUUGGAAUAAGGGGUGGGUAAGGACGGUGCCAGCCGCCGCGGUAAUACCGGCGCCCCAAGUGGUAGUCGCUUUUAUUGGGCCUAAAACGUCCGUAGCCGGUCUGGUACAUUCGUGGGUAAAUCAACCAGCUCAACUGGUUGAAUUCUGCGAGCACGGCCAGACUUGGGACCGGGAGAGGUGUGGGGUACUCUCAGGGUAGGGGUAAAAUCCUGUCAUCCUGAGAGGACCACCUGUUGCGAAGGCGCCACACUAGAACGGAUCCGACGGUCAGGGACGAAGCCUAGGGGCACGAACCGGAUUAGAUACCCGGGUAGUCCUAGGUGUAAACGCUGUGGACUUGAUGUUGGGGGCGCUCCGAGCGCACUCAGUGUCGAAGCGAAGGUGAUAAGUCCACUGCCUGGGGAGUACGGUCGCAAGGCUGAAACUUAAAGGAAUUGGCGGGGGAGCACCGCAACCUGAGGAUUGUGCGGUUUAAUUGGAUCAACGCCGGG
rnacentral:rRNA from 1 species